ACUCAAAUGAAUUGACGGGGGCCCGCACAAGCGGUGGAGCAUGUGGUUCAAUUCGACGCAACGCGAAAAACCUUACCCGGGUUUGACAUCCAGAGGAAGAAUGCAGAAACGCAUUUGCCGGGGCAACUCGGCCUUUGAACAGGUGCUGCAUGGUUGUCGUCAGCUCGUGCCGUGAGGUGUUAGGUUAAGUCCUGCAACGAGCGCAACCCUCAUCCCUAGUUGCCAGCGGGUUAUGCCGGGCACUCUAAGGAAACUGCCGCUGAUAAGGCGGAGGAAGGUGGGGAUGACGUCAAAUCAGCAUGGCCCUUACAUCCGGGGCUACACACGUGCUACAAUGGAGGGUACAACGGGAAGCGAAGGAGCGAUCUGGAGCGAAUCCCCCAAAACCCUCCCCAGUUCAGAUCGUAGGCUGCAACCCGCCUACGUGAAGGCGGAAUCGCUAGUAACCGCAGAUCAGAACUGCUGCGGUGAAUACGUUCCCGGGCCUUGUACACACCGCCCGU
rnacentral:rRNA from 1 species